rnacentral:rRNA from 1 species
AUUGAACGCUGGCGGCAGGCUUAACACAUGCAAGUCGAGCGGGGAAGGGUAGCUUGCUACCUGACCUAGCGGCGGACGGGUGAGUAAUGCUUAGGAAUCUGCCUAUUAGUGGGGGACAACAUUCCGAAAGGAAUGCUAAUACCGCAUACGCCCUACGGGGGAAAGCAGGGGAUCUUCGGACCUUGCGCUAAUAGAUGAGCCUAAGUCAGAUUAGCUAGUUGGUGGGGUAAAGGCCUACCAAGGCGACGAUCUGUAGCGGGUCUGAGAGGAUGAUCCG